rnacentral:rRNA from 1 species
UACGGAGGGAGCUAGCGUUAAUCGAAAUUACUGGGCGUAAAGCGUGCGCAGGCGGUCUUGUAAGACAGUUGUGAAAUCCCCGGGCUUAACCUGGGAGCUGCAAUUGUGACUGCAAGGCUAGAGUGUGUCAGAGGGGGGUGGAAUUCCACGUGUAGCAGUGAAAUGCGUAGAGAUGUGGAGGAACACCGAUGGCGAAGGCAGCCCCCUGGGAUAACACUGACGCUCAUGCACGAAAGCGUGGAGAGCAAACAGG